GCAGUCUUAGUAUAGUGGUUAGUACGAGUCGUUGUGGCUCUUCCACCCCGUUCCUUCGCCGGAGCGGUGACCCGACUAGACGGAUGUUCGAUUCCUCCAGACUGCA
rnacentral:tRNA from 1 species